rnacentral:lncRNA from 1 species
CUAAAACUCCAAAAAUUGCAGGGAAGGACUUCUGGGGGCUGCGUGAACAGUGUCGGUGCGUGGAUCCACGCGCCACCGCUGAGAAAUUCAGCAACCGGUGGAUCCGGCUCGUCUCUGUUUCCUCUUCUUUUCCUCGCCGGCGGUGAAGGUCACCGCCACCUGCAACAACAAGAAAAACACCCAAAGAGCAGUCGGUUUUAGUUUUUUUCUUCCCUGUUUUCGGAUCUGGUCUCGGGUUCUUUUGGAUCUGCUUCGCUGCAGAUCGGUC